rnacentral:tRNA from 1 species
UGGGACAUAGCAUAAUGGUUAAAGUGUUGGCCUUUUAAACCUGAGGCCCCAGGUUUGAUCCCUGGCAUCUCAU